UUCGCCUCUCGGCCUUUUGGCUAAGAUCAUGUGUAUGACCUGUUCUUAUCAGUUUAAUAUGUGAUAUGUUGAGGACUAUCUAUUAAAUGGAAUUUUGGAGCAAGGGAAGUUUUUUAAUGACUGAUGUUUUAAUGUAUUUUUAAUCUCCUGUUGUAAGCCGCCCAGAGUGGCUGGGGAAUAAGUAAU
rnacentral:snRNA from 1 species